rnacentral:rRNA from 1 species
AGCAGCCGCGGUAAUUCCAGCUCCAAUAGCGUAUAUUAAAGUUGUUGCAGUUAAAAAGCUCGUAGUUGAAUUUCGGGGUCAGUAGGUUGGUCAUGCCUCCGGUAUGUACUGGCCUCACUGAUUCCUCCUUCCUGAUGAGCCGUAAUGCCAUUAAUUUGGUGUUGCGGGGAAUCUGGACUGUUACUUUGAAAAAAUUAGAGUGUUUAAAGCAAGCUAACGCUUGAAUACAUUAGCAUGGAAUAAUGGAAUAGGACGUUCGAUCCUAUUUUGUUGGUUUCUAGGAUUGACGUAAUGAUUAAUAGGGAUAGUUGGGGGCAUUAGUAUUCAAUUGUCAGAGGUGAAAUUCUUGGAUUUAUUGAAGACUAACUACUGCGAAAGCAUUUGCCAAGGAUGUUUUCAUUAAUCAAGAACGAAAGUUAGGGGAUCGAAGACGAUCAGAUACCGUCGUAG